rnacentral:rRNA from 1 species
UACGUAGGGUGCGAGCGUUAAUCGGAAUUACUGGGCGUAAAGCGUGCGCAGGCGGUUGUGUAAGACAGGUGUGAAAUCCCCGGGCUUAACCUGGGAAUUGCAUUUGUGACUGCACGGCUAGAGUUUGGCAGAGGGGGGUAGAAUUCCACGUGUAGCAGUGAAAUGCGUAGAUAUUGGGAGGAACACCAGUGGCGAAGGCGGCUCACUGGACCGGUACUGACGCUGAUGCGCGAAAGCGUGGGGAGCAAACGGG